UCCAUCUCAAUCUUCAUCCCCUUUGGAGUCACAGCAGCAAGCAAUUCAAGAAGAAGUAGAGGAAGAUGACAGGUGAUUUUUUUUUUUUUUUGAUUAAUUUUUUUACACUCUUUUGAUUGAUUGAGGCUAAUUGGUUUGUCGGUGUAUGGGAUGGAGGCUGGAUAUUGAGAAUUGGAGGGGAAGGAGAGGUACCCAUUUGUGAAAGCUCAGGGAAGAGAGGGUGUUUGGUUGGAUAUUUCAUCACUUUAAUGGAAAUUUAAUUAUCCAAUUGUUGUUUCCCCAACAUUUAAAGUUAGUGAAACAUCUUUACUAUGCAAUUUGUUUGAGCCCAAUGGCUGUCUGGUUCCCUUUUUUUGUGCUUUACAUACCUAUGCAUUCAGGUCCACAAAUGCCAAAUCCACAAGG
rnacentral:lncRNA from 1 species